rnacentral:rRNA from 1 species
UACGUAGGGGGCAAGCGUUGUCCGGAAUCAUUGGGCGUAAAGCGCGUGUAGGCGGCCAGGUAAGUCCGUUCUGAAAGCCCGGGGCUCAACCCCGGGAGGCGGAUGGAUACUGCUUGGCUCGAGUCCGGAAGAGGCGAGUGGAAUUCCCGGUGUAGUGGUGAAAUGCGUAGAUAUCGGGAGGAACACCAGUGGCGAAGGCGACUCCUGGCCUGUUCUUGACGCUGAGGCGCGAAAGCUAGGGGAGCAAACGGGG